GUGAAUUAAACAUGCUUGGUGUCUUCGCUUCGGCAAGGCCCUUGCUUAAAUCACAUCCCAACACCUGUGAACUGUAAGACGUAUGAUGAGGUCUUUGGCCAAGUCAUCGCCUGCCCAUUUUUAACAAACAAUUAAUGUAACAAACGUAGUCUUAUUAUAACCUAAUAAAACUUUCAACAACGGAUCUCUUGGCUCUCGCAUCGAUGAAGAACGCAGCGAAAUGCGAUAAGUAAUGUGAAUUGCAGAAUUCAGUGAAUCAUCGAAUCUUUGAACGCACCUUGCGCUCUUUGGUAUUCCGAAGAGCAUGCCUGUUUGAGUGUCAUGAAAAUAUCAACCUUGACUUGGGUUUUGUGCUCUAGUCUUGGCUUGGAAUUGGGUGCUUGCCGCUUUUACGAGCGGCUCACCUUAAAUGUAUUAGCUGGAUCUGUCUUUGAGACUUGGUUUGACUUGGCGUAAUAAGUAUUUCGCUAAGGACAUUCUUCGGAGUGGCCUCGUUUCUAGGACGCUUGUCCGCUUUCCAAUACAAGUUCCACCUCGUGGACAUGACUUUUUUAUUAUCUGGCCUCAAAUCAGGUAGGACUACCCGCUGAACUUAAGCAUAUCAAUAAGCGGAGGAAUCGGCUACUUGGUCAUUUAGAGGAAGUAAAAGUCGUAACAAGGUUUCCGUAGGUGAACCUGCGGAAGGAUCAUUAGCGAGUAUGGCCCUCACGGGUCUAAUCCACCACAAACACCUUUGUGAACCAGUCAGGGGGACUCGGCCGUGAAAGCCCAGGCGAUUAGCGGAAGGGCCCUCCUUUGCAAACCCGUUUAGAAGUCUUGAAAGUACUUUUGUAUAAUCUAGUA
rnacentral:misc_RNA from 1 species